rnacentral:rRNA from 1 species
CCCUUAGAUGUUCUGGGCUGCACGCGCGCUACACUGAUGCGCUCAACGAGUUUUGACCUUGCCCGGAAGGGUUGGGUAAUCUUCUUAAAACGCAUCGUGAUGGGGAUAGAUUAUUGCAAUUAUUAAUCUUCAACGAGGAAUUCCUAGUAAGCGCGAGUCAUCAGCUCGUGCUGAUUACGUCCCCGCCCUUUGUACACACCGCCCGUCGCUCCUACCGAUUGAGUGAUCCGGUGAGUAAUUCGGACUGCAGCAGUGUUCAGUUCCUGAACGUUGCAGCGGAAAGUUUAGCAAACCUUAUCACUUAGAGGAAGGAGAAGUCGUAACA